AUUGAACGCUGGCGGCAUGCUUUACACAUGCAAGUCGAACGGUAACAGGCCGCAAGGUGCUGACGAGUGGCGAACGGGUGAGUAAUGCAUCGGAACGUGCCCAGUCGUGGGGGAUAACUACUCGAAAGAGUAGCUAAUACCGCAUACGAUCUAUGGAUGAAAGCGGGGGACCGUAAGGCCUCGCGCGAUUGGAGCGGCCGAUGUCAGAUUAGUGAGUUGGUGGGGUAAAGGCUCACCAAGCCAACGAUCUGUAGCUGGUCUGAGAGGACAACCAGCCACACUGGGACUGAGACACGGCCCAGACUCCUACGGGAGGCAGCAGUGGGGAAUUUUGGACAAUGGGCGCAAGCCUGAUCCAGCAAUGCCGCGUGCAGGAAGAAGGCCUUCGGGUUGUAAACUGCUUUUGUACGGAACGAAACGGCUCUGGUUAAUACCCGGGGCUAAUGACGGUACCGUAAGAAUAAGCACCGGCUAACUACGUG
rnacentral:rRNA from 1 species